rnacentral:rRNA from 1 species
GAUGAACGCUGGCGGCGUGCCUAAUACAUGCAAGUCGAGCGAACGGACGAGAAGCUUGCUUCUCUGAUGUUAGCGGCGGACGGGUGAGUAACACGUGGAUAACCUACCUAUAAGACUGGGAUAACUUCGGGAAACCGGAGCUAAUACCGGAUAAUAUUUUGAACCGCAUGGUUCAAAAGUGAAAGACGGUCUUGCUGUCACUUAUAGAUGGAUCCGCGCUGCAUUAGCUAGUUGGUAAGGUAACGGCUUACCAAGGCAACGAUGCAUAGCCGACCUGAGAGGGUGAUCGGCCACACUGGAACUGAGACACGGUCCAGACUCCUACGGGAGGCAGCAGUAGGGAAUCUUGCGCAAUGGGCGAAAGCCUGACGGAGCAACGCCGCGUGAGUGAUGAAGGUCUUCGGAUCGUAAAACUCUGUUAUUAGGGAAGAAAAUAUGUGUAAUUAACUGUGCACAUCUUGACGGUACCUAAUCAGAAAGCCACGGCUAACUACGUG